GUGGCGAGUGGCGAACGGGUGAGUAAUACAUCGGAACGUGCCCGGACGUGGGGGAUAACUACUCGAAAGAGUGGCUAAUACCGCAUACGAUCCAAGGAUGAAAGCGGGGGAUCGCAAGACCUCGCGCGUUUGGAGCGGCCGAUGGCAGAUUAGGUAGUUGGUGAGGUAAAGGCUUACCAAGCCUGCGAUCUGUAGCUGGUCUGAGAGGAUGAUCAGCCACACUGGGACUGAGACACGGCCCAGACUCCUACGGGAGGCAGCAGUGGGGAAUUUUGGACAAUGGGCGAAAGCCUGAUCCAGCCCUUCCGCGUGCAGGAUGAAGGCCCUCGGGUUGUAAACUGCUUUUGUACGGAACGAAAAGGCUCUUGCUAAUACCAGGAGUCCAUGACGGUACCGUAAGAAUAAGCACCGGCUAACUACGUGCCAGCAGCCGCGGUAAUACGUAGGGUGCAAGCGUUAAUCGGAAUUACUGGGCGUAAAGCGUGCGCAGGCGGUUUUGUAAGACAGAGGUGAAAUCCUCGGGCUCACCUGGGAACUGCCUUUGUGACUGCAAGGCUGGA
rnacentral:rRNA from 1 species